GACGAACGCUGGCGGCGUGCCUAAUACAUGCAAGUCGAGCGGACCUCUUCGGAGGUCAGCGGCGGACGGGUGAGUAACACGUGGGCAACCUGCCUGUAAGACUGGGAUAACUCCGGGAAACCGGAGCUAAUACCGGAUACUAUGUCAAACCGCAUGGUUUGACAUUCAAAGACGGUUUCGGCUGUCACUUACAGAUGGGCCCGCGGCGCAUUAGCUAGUUGGUGAGGUAAUGGCUCACCAAGGCGACGAUGUGUAGCCGACCUGAGAGGGUGAUCGGCCACACUGGGACUGAGACACGGCCCAGACUCCUACGGGAGGCAGCAGUAGGGAAUCUUCCGCAAUGGACGAAAGUCUGACGGAGCAACGCCGCGUGAGUGAUGAAGGUUUUCGGAUCGUAAAACUCUGUUGUCAGGGAAGAACAAGUGCCGGAGUAACUGCCGGCACCUUGACGGUACCUGACCAGAAAGCCACGGCUAACUACGUGCCAGCCGCCGCAGUAA
rnacentral:rRNA from 1 species